AAAAAGAAAAAAAUAAAAAAGAAAACAAAAAGCAGGGAUGGUGGGGGAGGUUUAAUAGGCAUGUAGCAAUAAGCGACAGCGUGAAUGGACCACCAGAUCAUAAGUGGUCACCAGAAGGCAUUAGGCAGGAAUGGAAAAGAAGGCCCUGCCUGUUUUAGAGGUCUUAGCAGAACAGAUUAUCAUUCUUGGCUGGCCCAGAGCUAUGAAAGCCUGUGUUGCCAGGGAAGGGAAUGCAAUUUGUCCCAGAGGGAUAAGGCAACAGUGGUCGGCUAAUACUCAAAGCCAAAAGCUGUGAUUGGGAUGGGAGGUGCGGCAAAAGAAGUCCACGCAAGGAGUGAUUCUGAUGGGGAGGAACUGAAGCAACAGCCAAAUGUGUCUCACCUUCCGGAGCAUGGCCUCCGACUUCUGCAGGUCGAAGCUUCUGGCUGUAACAGGGAAACAGUUCUGGUCAGGGUUAGGUUAGCAGGACUGGGUGUCCAAGGAUGGGGAGAUUCCCAUAUUCCCAUGAUAGGGCCAGUUCCUCUCAGUCAUCUCUCCAGCUAACCCUCAGACCAUCCUACAAGCAGAAGCUAACAUGAGAGCCUUUACUGAGAACUUCUGGGGCACCACAGGCCCCAGGUUUGCGAGGAGAGCAGGUCAAAGUUCAGGGCAGCUGGGGGCAGCUAUUGUAACUUCAGGGUCAAGAGAGCUUUACUCCAGUGGUUAUAAUCAACUUAAAGGUCUUCCGUCCUCUCAGUGAAAAUGAACCCCGGAUCCUCUUAUCAUUUGGCCUUCCCCCUUGCACAAAGUUUAUCUCCUCCACAGUCUCACAUCCAAUCCUGAGACCUUGACACCACAGUUCAAAGAUGAACAUACCAGCCUGGGCAAUACAGUGAGACCUCGUCUCUCCAAAAAAACAAAACAAAACAAAACAAAAAAACUAAUUAGCUACAGGUGGUGGCAUGCACCUCUAGUCCCAGCUACUUGGGAGGCUGAGGUGGGAGGAUUGCUGGAGCCUAGGAGGUGAAGGUUGCAGUGAGCUGAGAUCUCGCUACUAUACUCCAGCCUGGGUGACACAGCGAGAUCCCAUCCCAAGAAAAACAAAAAACAAAGAUGAAUAUAGCUGCCCCUGUAAUCUGUGGCAGAGCUGGCAGAACAUCCCAGUGGGAUAGAGGGGUUGAUGAGCCUCCACCCAACCUUGUCAUGUCCUCAAAGGGCCCACACAUUCCCUAAAGCCACACAAAGGGCCUGCCUCCCAGGGCUCCUGACAAGUUUCAGAAUUCAGUUUCACCUGGGUCACCUCUUUAUGCAUGAUGCCCCAAAAGUUGUCCUGCUCAAGCUUGAACACAAAGACCUCACUGACCCCCAAGGCCACUUGCUCCCAGGUAAUCAUAGCUGCAAUUUGCACUCAGCUGAUUGAUACUGAGUUGAGAUUCAUUUCAGAGACACUCAGAGAGUAGGAUUGCCUCCUUAGCCUCAUGACAACACUUCCAAGACUGGAAAAUUCUGUGCUUUCACUCUGCAUCUCCCCUACCAUCGUGCUGCCCAUCCUUAGAGACUUUACGAAGCCCCACAGCUUGGUCUGAAGUCCAUGCAAAUAACUUCCCUUUGAGUGUUUUCCAAUUUUCCAGAGCCCCCUCAGAGUGUGCUCUAAGAGCCACGCAGAGCCCCA
rnacentral:lncRNA from 10 species